rnacentral:rRNA from 1 species
AACUUCUGGAAACGGAUGCUAAUACCGCAUAUACCCUGAGGGGGAAAGAUUUAUCGCUUUAAGAUUGGCCCAUGGCAGAUUAGGUAGUUGGUGGGGUAAAGGCCUACCAAGCCGACGAUCUGUAGCUGGUCUGAGAGGACGAUCAGCCACAUUGGGACUGAGACACGGCCCAGACUCCUACGGGAGGCAGCAGUGAGGAAUAUUGGGCAAUGGGGGCAACCCUGACCCAGCCAUGCCGCGUGAGUGAAGAAGGUUUUCGAAUUGUAAAGCUCUUUCGGAUGUGACGAUGAUGACGGUAGCAUCUAAAGAAGCCCCGGCAAACUUCGUGCCAGCAGCCGCGGUAAUACGAAGGGGGCGAGCGUUGUUCGGAAUUACUGGGCGUAAAGGGUGUGUAGGUGGACGUGUAAGAUAGCGGUGAAAUGCCGGAGCUCAACUUCGGAAUUGCCAUUAUAACUAUGCGUCUAGAAUUAUAGAGAGGAUAGCGGAAUACCCAGUGUAGAGGUGAAAUUCGUAGAUAUUGGGUAGAACACCAGUGGCGAAGGCGGCUAUCUGGCUAUAUAUUGACACUGAGGCACGAAAGCAUGGGGAUCAAACAGGAUUAGAUACCCUGGUAGUCCAUGCCGUAAACGAUGAAUGCUGGUUGUCGGACGAAUGUUCGGUGACGAAGUUAACGCGAUAAGCAUUCCGCCUGGGG